CACGUAGGGCGCAAGCGUUGUCCGGAAUUAUUGGGUUUAAAGGGUCCGUAGGCGGAUCUGUAAGUCAGUGGUGAAAUCUCACAGCUUAACUGUGAAACUGCCAUUGAUACUGCAGGUCUUGAGUAAAGUAGAAGUGGCUGGAAUAAGUAGUGUAGCGGUGAAAUGCAUAGAUAUUACUUAGAACACCAAUUGCGAAGGCAGGUCACUAUGUUUUAACUGACGCUGAUGGACGAAAGCGUGGGGAGCGAACAGG
rnacentral:rRNA from 1 species